AAGGAUGCCUGCGCCCAAGUUGCACCUAAGGGGCUCGGGUUCCCACUGGGCGCACUCACAUUCACGUGUGUGAGAGCGCGCGCGUGUGUGCGCGCGUGUGUUUGUGCGUGGCGCGUGUGUAUGCGCGCGCGCGGGUGUGUGGCGGGGCGGGCUUUGCGCCCGGAGGCAGGGCUCCACUGUGAGAGUGGCAGCUGGACUUGCCAGGCUGCGAGGGGCAGGGCACAGAGCCGCAGUGCCGUAGUAGCGGGCAGCCAGGAGAGACCGCUUCGGAGCUCAGAUCCCUAGCAGAGGCGGAAGACCCCCGCGCUGCCUCACCACAGCCUGGCCGCCUGAUUUCCCCAGCGCCCACUCGGGCUGCCGUCCCCUCCCCCGAGAGGGCUGCGCGGGCGGGAAGACGCCCAGACACCAGCUUCGGUCCCCUUUCUGGCUCUCGGUUCCUCUUUCCUCCCAAGUAAGGGAAUAAACUGCGAGGAAGGAGCGCCCCGGGCCACCGCGCAACCAAGUGUUGCAUGGUGAGGAAAAGCCAGGAUUUCUGAAUCUGCCUUGACUACAGACGGGAGGAUGUUGCCAGAGGAGUAGCAGAGGUCUUUUCUAAUCUGCUGAGAGGUGCCCACUGCCGCCCUAGACGUCGAGUCCUCCGAGAAGUCUCCUGAGGGGCUUAUCCACUACGUACAUGCAAAGAGCCAGGCCUGGGCUGGGCCACAGCUCUCCCCUGGUGACACCUCUCCAUCCCUGGCCUCCAGGCACUUGCACCCGGCUUAAAGAUGAGUGAAGAACUGUGGGUCUCCCUCACCCCGGAAGAAUUUGACCAGCUCCAGAAAUAUUCGGAAUAUUCCUCAAAGAAGAUAAAGGAUGUCUUGAUGGAAUUCAAUGAGGGUGGGAGCCUCAAACAAUAUGAUCCGCAUGAGCCGAUUAGCUAUGAUGUCUUCAAGCUAUUCAUGAAGGCGUACCUGGAGGUGGACCUUCCUCAGCCACUGAGCACUCACCUCUUCCUGGCCUUCAGCCAGAAGCCAAGACGGGAGACCCCUGACUGCCCCAAGGAGGGGGCCAGCAGCAGCGAGGCCAGUGGCCCAGAUCCUAACAUACAGAAUGCAGAUAACGCUGCCAAAGCAGACGAGGCCUGCGCCCCUGACACUGAAUCAAAGAUGGCCGAGAAGCAAGAACCGGCUGAAGAUGAGGUGGCUGCAACCCUCCUGGGAGCCCCUGCUGCUCAGUCUUCAAGCUCAGAAUCCCCCAUAGUGUACCUGAAGGAUGUCGUGUGCUACCUGUCCCUGCUGGAGACCGGGAGACCUCAGGAUAAGCUGGAGUUCAUGUUCCGUCUCUAUGAUUCAGAUGAGAACGGUCUCCUGGACCAAGCGGAGAUGGAUCGCAUUGUCAACCAAAUGCUGCAUAUUGCCCAGUACCUGGAGUGGGAUCCCACGGAACUGAGGCCUAUAUUGAAGGAGAUGUUGCACGGGAUGGACUACGACCGGGACGGCUUUGUGUCCCUACAGGAAUGGGUCCAUGGAGGGAUGACCACCAUCCCAUUGCUGGUCCUCCUGGGGAUGGAUGACUCUGGCUCCAAGGGGGACGGGAGGCACGCCUGGACCAUGAAGCAUUUCAAGAAACCAACCUACUGCAGCUUCUGCCACAUCAUGCUCAUGGGUGUCCGGAAGCAAGGCCUGUGCUGCAUCUACUGUAAAUACACUGUCCAUGAACGCUGUGUAUCCAAAAACAUUCCAGGAUGCGUGAAAACGUACUCAAAAACCAAAAGGAGCGGCGAGGUGAUGCAGCACGCAUGGGUGGAAGGGAACUCCUCUGUCAAGUGUGACCGGUGCCACAAAAGUAUCAAGUGCUACCAGAGUGUCACUGCACGGCAUUGUGUGUGGUGCCGGAUGACGUUUCACCGCAAAUGUGAAUUAUCAACAUUGUGUGAUGGUGGGGAACUCAGAGACCAUAUUUUACUGCCCACCUCGAUAUGCCCCAUCACCCGGGACAAGCAAAGUGGGAAGUCUGACGGCAGCGGGCCAGCCAAGGGCGAGCUUGUGAUGCAGUAUAAGAUCAUCCCCACCCCGGGUACCCACCCCCUGCUGGUCUUGGUGAACCCCAAGAGUGGAGGGAGACAAGGAGAAAGAAUUCUUCGGAAAUUCCACUAUCUGCUCAACCCCAAACAAGUUUUCAGCCUGGACAACGGGGGCCCUACUCCAGGAUUGAACUUUUUCCGUGAUACUCCAGACUUCCGUGUUUUAGCCUGUGGAGGAGAUGGGACAGUUGGCUGGAUUUUGGAUUGCAUUGAUAAGGCCAACUUGCCAAAGCAUCCACCAGUGGCUGUCCUGCCUCUUGGAACAGGAAAUGACCUUGCCCGUUGUCUCCGCUGGGGAGGAGGUUACGAAGGGGGUAGCUUGACAAAAAUCCUGAAAGACAUUGAGCAGAGCCCCCUGGUGAUGCUGGAUCGUUGGCAUCUGGAAGUCAUCCCCAGAGAGGAGGUGGAAAACGGGGACCAGGUCCCGUACAGCAUCAUGAACAACUAUUUCUCCAUUGGUGUGGAUGCUUCCAUUGCACACAGAUUCCACGUGAUGAGAGAGAAACACCCUGAAAAAUUCAACAGCAGGAUGAAGAACAAGCUGUGGUACUUUGAAUUUGGCACCUCGGAGACCUUUGCAGCCACCUGCAAGAAACUCAAUGACCACAUAGAGUUGGAGUGUGAUGGGGUUGGGGUGGACCUGAGCAACAUCUUCCUGGAAGGCAUUGCCAUUCUCAACAUUCCCAGCAUGUAUGGAGGCACCAAUCUCUGGGGAGAAACCAAGAAGAACCGGGCUGUAAUCCGGGAAAGCAGAAAGGGCAUCACUGACCCCAAGGAACUAAAAUUCUGUGUCCAAGACCUCAGUGACCAGCUCCUUGAAGUGGUGGGGCUGGAGGGAGCCAUGGAGAUGGGGCAGAUCUACACCGGCCUGAAGAGUGCGGGCAGGAGGCUGGCCCAGUGCUCCUCAGUCACCAUCAGGACUAACAAGCUGCUGCCAAUGCAAGUGGAUGGAGAGCCCUGGAUGCAGCCACGUUGCACGAUUAAAAUCACUCACAAGAACCAAGCGCCCAUGAUGAUGGGGCCUCCCCAGAAGAGCAGCUUCUUUUCAUUGAGGAGAAAGAGCCGCUCAAAAGACUAAACAGUGUGCCAAAUGCCAGCCAAGCCAAGAGCGAAAGCAAGAAACUGUACCUACACACCCACACACACACAUUUAUGUGCACACACACACACACAGACACACACACUCUUCUCUAACCAGUGGAAGCAAAGCCACCCUUCGGGAAGAAAACUUCACCUUGCCAUACGUCCUACCCAUUUCAGUAAUGGAUGCACCCUAACAGAGCCAGUGCCAACUCAACAUUUGGGGUGGGCUUUGGGCCCACAAGGGUAUGGUUAGCUCGUGCAGCAACUCCCACAUUCCCACCGGCCUUGAGCAGGACUUUCUGAGACUGAAGGAGAAAUCCCCCUUCCUUUCCAUCAGCACUGCAAGUUUCCUCACGAACACUCGCGAGGAGCAGGCUGCAGGUUUCCUGCCUGUGGUGAGGUCGGAUGUGGCCGAGGGAAAGGGCUCCGGUUCCAGAGAACUUGCACAAAGGUCCCUCUGUACAGAGACAAAACGGCCCCCGGCUCUCAGAGCACACUCCCUGGCAGGGCUCAGCAAGCGCACGUUGGUUUCUUGGUUGUCCCUGAGCGACAACUUCUCCCUGAACUUGCUGAGGAGGCAGAAAGGCUGUGGAAAGCUGUGUUUCCUUUCCUGGUUCUCUGCACUGUCAGUGGACACUUAUUUUCCCAAAGCCUUCUCCUAGUGACUGUAUGUUUGUUUAGAGGUGGCUCCAAGAGUCCCCAGAGCUGCCUGUGCAGCACACCUUAGAUGUGGUAUUUAUUUUCUUAGUUCUCUGAACACCUGGGAGGAAAAGCAGAGAAACUGGGAUUUAUUUUUCAAAUUUGUGUCAUAAUAUUGUGUAAAAAGGGAAGAAAAAAAAAAAAAAAACCACCCCCAGCUUCUUUCUUUUUCAAGCCAAAGCGUGUUUCCUGUUUGAGUUCCAAGCCCUGGUGGCAGACUAUUCCUGAAGGCAGGGAAGAUGGGAGGGAAACCGGGAGACAAACCAUAGGGUGGUUCCCUCCUGCUUCUUUGCACUCACCACUCCCAGAGUGUGACCUGAAGAACCUUCUGGUGGUCUUACAUGUGUGUAUAUAUGUAGCAUAUAUAUUUAUAUAUAUAUAUAAAUAUUUAUUUACUGAUGGACUUUUCCUGAUUGAAAAAAAGCAUAGGCAGUAUGGGAACAGAAAGUGGGAAAGAAAAAGCAGCUCCUUGUUCCUCCAAGCCCCCAUUUCAUCAUUAGCACACAUUUCCCUGUAGUGAUCAUAAGGGAAACAAAAGUAGCUCCUUAUCAUGAAGAGGCUGAGAACUCCAAUUCUGGAUCCUCCAAACAACCAUGACAGAUAUGCUGGGUAGGAUUUGCUCUUCCAUUUGUCAGAUAAGGAAACUGAGUCUCAAAAACUGAGUCUCAGUACCAUUGACAGACUUGUCUAUGGUACUGUGGUUUGAGAGUAGGUGCCACUAAGAAGAUAUCUAAUAGAGAAAAGAGCCCACACGUCUCAGAAUAGGGUCAUGAUUGCACUUGGAUCUAGCUUGCCAGGGAAAGACUAAUGAGCAGCAUGUGUGUGGUUGGGACAAGCCCACACGAGAAAGUGAUGCUGGCCUGCACUGGAGAGAAGUUGGUCUGAGUUGGAAGGCACUAGACAGAUCAUCAGAUGGAACUCUCCACAUGUCACCUCAUCAUGGUCAUCAUAGUCUCUUUGAUGUUUGGAAACACCCCUAGCUGCAGGGGUGACCUCAGUGGAGAGUCACAGGGAAGAUUGAGUCACCUUCUGCAAGGAACUGCCAGCCAUGACAGAGGGGUCUCAGCGGAGCUCAGUGGGCUUCAUUCAGUUGGUGCCAGCAUUACCCUCCUUUCCCAAGGGCAAGUCUGUACACAGCCUCACUGGGCUUCCAUCCUUCUCUGAGAUUGCUCAAGAGGACACUUAGGCCCACUUGACAUCACCCUACUGAGCUGCCUCUAAUCUCCUUUGGACAAGAAAGGAAAUGUCAAGAUUAUGUGUACAAAUUGAGCCUAACUCUGAAGGAAGCAAUCAUCUUGGAUCCAGGACCAAGAUCUAGCACCAUCCCACUUGACCUAACAGUGCAGGACCCUGGGAAAGGAGAAAACCAGGCCAUCUAAAGAAUAUCCUUAAUAAUUGGAUCCUUGGUGAUGGGACCAAGCGGCUCCAGAAUGACUACAGGUACUCUCUUGGAAACCACUUGAUUCUGAAAUGGAGGCAGGUUCAGGUUUGGGGUCACUGAUUCUAAGACAUUUACAGAAGUUUGUGCAUGUGUUUCAGCCCUGAUCCCCCAGGAUGGAGGCUGUUGAGACAUGGCACUCUCAACAGGUGGAAUUCUCAGAGACUCACAAGUCUCAUGAAGGGGCCUGCAGAGAUUGGCCUUACUGCUCCUCCAUCCUAGUGCACAAGACUUGCAGUGUUGCUUGACAGACAAAUCCCAAGUCCUCCUUAGAGGCACAGAGUGUAACAGACUUCACUGGAAAUGCACUUCCGAUUUGGUAACCUUAAUGGCAAGAGGCAGGCAACUUGAACUAAAGUGAAGAGGCUUCGUGGUAAGUUGCUGACCCAGCUUACAGCACAGAUGUCCUCUUCUGUAGAAUGGGAAGAAGUAAACUUUUAUGCUUCUCUGCACUGUCAACCUCAAAGCUUGAGAACAAGUAAUGCCCUCUAUCUUGGAGAAGGCUGGCAAGUUUUCCAUAGAGGCUGCUGUGGAAAGGAGUUAUUUCAUGUCCCAUGCUGGGCUGAGGGAAGAAACCCUGCCUGGGAAAGCAAGAGCAGAAGCAGAAGUGGGCUCCAGUCCUGUCCCAGCCACGACCUGGACAUGUCCUUCAGCCUCUGGGACCUCUCUCUCUCUCUCUGUCCAACAAGGGGGAUCCAAAGACCUUCCCACUGCAGUGGUCUUCCUGUGCCUGAGUUAAAUGCUACAGCCACAGGAGAAGAGGCAGGGUCUUUGUCCUUAUGAGUCUCUCACCAGGCCCAAGGCUUCCCCCAGCCCUGCUGACCCAGGAGAGCCACUCCUAGCCCUUCAGCCAAGAAUCUACUUUCCUUCCCUCAAGGAUUGAUCAUGCUCAGAAAUCAGCUGAUGGGGGGUGGGGGGCAACAUGAAAAAAACUCUACAAAGAAACCGCUUGGUAAGCUCUCCACCUGUACACACACUCACACACACAUUCACACACACACCCAACCCCUGAAGUGUAAGCAUUUUCCCUUCUGUGUAUCAAACCUCGUUUGCCCUUUCUAACUGCCAGUGUGUUGGGAGAGAAUUCAGUCCCCCAGUUGAAAAGCACUGCUCCCACCUGGGGAACUCAGCUGAACCUCAGUGUUUGGGGGGGUGACCUUGGGCACAGGUUGAAGCUAACAGCCCUAGCACACCUCAACUGUGGGCCAGAAAUUCAGACUUUACCAGCCAAGCCUGAGGCAGUAGCUAAUUAGCAGCCUGGCGCCAGGGCCCCGACCCUCCCCUCCUUGCCCUUCCACCCCCACUGCCCGCCCCCACCCAUAGACAUACUGCUCCGCAGCGGUGGUCCCCCACCGCAGCCUGCCUGUCCGCCUGCGUAGAGUGCUAUGGACUUGUGUAAUGCACUGUGUAUGUGUAUGCCCUGACUGUGGUUUACUGCAAAUAAAAGUGACAGCAGGCGACUGACCUCUGA